AAGGCGGUGGACGUUUACGGUUCCUAUGGUUUGUUGGGCUGAACCAAGCCUUGGUCGCUUGGCUUGCCAUUUUCGGUACCGAUUGGAACGUUCCCUAGANUNNCCUCCCCCCGACCCCGGCCAGGUUCAUGAGGGAAGGAAGANCCCCAUCCAACCCUUCCCNGGNUGGCGNUNAUUAUCAGUGCCNGNAGNUUCCGACUGAAANGGCAUGAGNCNACNCAUUAUUGANUNNUCCUCNUAGCCCCCCAGCUUNCCUUNUGUUNCGGUUGUNUUUUUNGGAAUGUNGCNGAUACANUUCCCCCNGAAACAGCUAUGNCCAUGAUUCCCCAAGUNAGAAUUANCCCUCNCUAAAGGACUANUCCUGCAGNUUNAACGAAUUCCCCCUUAGAGUUGAUCAUGGCUCAGAACGAACGCUGGCGNCAGGCUUAACNCAUGCAAGUCGAACGAAGCCUUCNGGCUUAGUGGCGGACGGGUGAGUAACGCGUGGGAACGUNCCCUUUGCUACGGAAUAGCCCCGGGAAACUGGGUUUAAUACCGUAUAUUCUCUACGGAGGAAAGAUUUAUCGNCAAAGGAUCGGCCCGCGUUGGAUUAGGUAGUUGGUGGGGUAAUGGCCUACCAAGCCCGCGAUCCAUAGCUGGUUUGAGAGGAUGAUCAGCCACACUGGGACUGAGACACGGCCCAGACUCCUACGGGAGGCAGCAGUGGGGAAUCUUAGACAAUGGGGGAAACCCUGAUCUAGCCAUGCCGCGUGAGCGAUGAAGGCCUUAGGGUUGUAGAGCUCUUUCGCUGGGGAAGAUAAUGACGGUACCCAGUAAAGAAGCCCCGGCUAACUCCGUGCCAGCAGCCGCGGUAAUACGGAGGGGGCUAGCGUUGUUCGGAAUUACUGGG
rnacentral:rRNA from 1 species